rnacentral:rRNA from 1 species
GCUGUCGUCAGCUCGUGUUGUGAAAUGUUGGGUUAAGUCCCGCAACGAGCGCAACCCUUAUCCUUUGUUGCCAGCGGUCCGGCCGGGAACUCAAAGGAGACUGCCAGUGAUAAACUGGAGGAAGGUGGGGAUGACGUCAAGUCAUCAUGGCCCUUACGACCAGGGCUACACACGUGCUACAAUGGCGCAUACAAAGAGAAGCGACCUCGCGAGAGCAAGCGGACCUCAUAAAGUGCGUCGUAGUCCGGAUUGGAGUCUGCAACUCGACUCCAUGAAGUCGGAAUCGCUAGUAAUCGUGGAUCAGAAUGCCACGGUGAAUACGUUCCCGGGCCUUGUACACACCGCCCGUCACACCAUGGGAGUGGGUUGCAAAAGAAGUAGGUAGCUUAACCUUCGGGAGGGCGCUUACCACUUUGUGAUUCAUGACUGGGGUGAAGUCGUAACAAGGUAACCGUAGGGGAACCUGCGGUUGGAUCACC